rnacentral:rRNA from 1 species
GAUGAACGCUGGCGGCGUGCCUAAUACAUGCAAGUCGAGCGAACAGAUGAGGAGCUUGCUUCUCUGACGUUAGCGGCGGACGGGUGAGUAACACGUGGAUAACCUACUUAUCAGACUGGGAUCACUUCGGGAAACCGGAGCUAAUACCGGAUAAUAUACUGAACCGCAUGGUUCAAUAGUGAAAGACGGCUUUGCUGUCACUUAUAGAUGGAUCCGCGCCGCAUUAGCUAGUUGGUAAGGUAACGGCUUACCAAGGCAACGAUGCGUAGCCGACCUGAGAGGGUGAUCGACCACACUGGAACUGAGACGCGAUCCAGACUCCUGCGAGAGGCAGCAGUAGGGAAUCUUCCGCAAUGGGCGGAAGCCUGACGGAGCGACGCGGCGUGAGUGAUGGAGGUGUUCGGAUCGUGAGGCACUGUUAUUGGGGGGGAACAAAUGUGUAAGUGGCUGUGCACGUCUUGACGGUACCUGGUCAGAAAGCCACGGCUAACUACGUG